rnacentral:rRNA from 1 species
AUUGAACGCUGGCGGCAGGCCUAACACAUGCAAGUCGAGCGGAUGAAGGGAGCUUGCUCCUGGAUUCAGCGGCGGACGGGUGAGUAAUGCCUAGGAAUCUGCCUGGUAGUGGGGGAUAACGUCCGGAAACGGGCGCUAAUACCGCAUACGUCCUGAGGGAGAAAGUGGGGGAUCUUCGGACCUCCCGCUAUCAGAUGAGCCUAGGUCGGAUUAGCUAGUUGGUGGGGUAAAGGCCUACCAAGGCGACGAUCCGUAACUGGUCUGAGAGGAUGAUCAGGCACACUGGAACUGAGACACGGUCCAGACUCCUACGGGAGGCAGCAGUGGGGAAUAUUGGACAAUGGGCGAAAGCCUGAUCCAGCCAUGCCGCGUGUGUGAAGAAGGUCUUCGGAUUGUAAAGCACUUUAAGUUGGGAGGAAGGGCAGUAAGUUAAUACCUUGCUGUUUUGACGUUACCAACAGAAUAAGCACCGGCUAACUUCGUG